rnacentral:lncRNA from 1 species
ACCAAUUCCACUGCUCAGGGGAUGAGUCGUUCUUGUGGAGUUGUCUUGUGACUGCCCUGGGUGUUCCUGCCUGUGCCCAUGGGAACACAGCCUCUGUGGUCUGCUCAGGAAACCAGAGUGAGACUGUACCCCAAUGCAAGGACUCCCUGUCGGAUUCAACACAUUCCACAGCCUCAGAGGUACAGGAUGUCAACUGCUCAGGUGAGGACAUCUGCAGGAAAA